rnacentral:rRNA from 1 species
AUCUUUAAUAGGAUGUUACGAUUGUGUGAAUACAUAGCACAUUCGAGGUAGACGCAGAGAACUGAAACAUCUAAGUACCUGCAGGAAGAGAAAGAAAAUUCGAUUCCCUGAGUAGCGGCGAGCGAAACGGGAAAAGCCCAAACCAGCAAGCUUGCUUGUUGGGGUUGUAGGACUCCAAUAUGGUAGUUCUUUCAGAUAGUCGAAUGACUUGGAAAAGUCAGUCAAAGAGGGUAAAAACCCCGUAGACGAAAUGUGGAAGACACCUAGGAGGAUCCUGAGUACGGCGGAACACGAGAAAUUCCGUCGGAAUCCGGGAGGACCAUCUCCCAAGGCUAAAUACUCCCUAGUGACCGAUAGUGAACCAGUACCGUGAGGGAAAGGUGAAAAGCACCCCGGAAGGGGAGUGAAAUAGAACCUGAAACCGUGUGCCUACAACAAGUCAAAGCCCGUUAAUGGGUGAUGGCGUGCCUUUUGUAGAAUGAACCGGCGAGUUACGAUUGCAUGCGAGGUUAAGUUGAAGAGACGGAGCCGCAGCGAAAGCGAGUCUGAAUAGGGCGUUUGAGUAUGUAGUCGUAGACCCGAAACCAUGUGAUCUACCCAUGUCCAGGUUGAAGGUGCGGUAAAACGCACUGGAGGACCGAACCCACGUACGUUGAAAAGUGCGGGGAUGAGGUGUGGGUAGCGGAGAAAUUCCAAACGAACUUGGAGAUAGCUGGUUCUCUCCGAAAUAGCUUUAGGGCUAGCCUCGGAAUUGAGAAUGAUGGAGGUAGAGCACUGUUUGGACUAGGGGCCCAUCUCGGGUUACCGAAUUCAGAUAAACUCCGAAUGCCAUUCAUUCAUAUCCGGGAGUCAGACUGUGAGUGAUAAGAUCCAUAGUCGAAAGGGAAACAGCCCAGACCACCAGCUAAGGUCCCAAAAUAUAUGUUAAGUGGAAAAGGAUGUGGGGUUGCACAGACAACUAGG